ACUCAUCCAAACUGAAAUAUUACUGAUGAACUCAUCCCAACUGAACUAUUACUGAUGAACUCAUCCAAACUGAACUAUUCCUGAUGAACUCAUCCAAACUGAAAUAUUACUGAUGAACUCAUCCCAACUGAACUAUUACUGAUGAACUCAUCCCAACUGAACUAUUCCUGAUGAACUGAUCCCAACUGAACUAUUCCUGAUGAACUCAUCCCAACUGAACUAUAACUGGUUUGAAACAAACUUCAGUUAGUUGGUGUCCACCCUAGUCUGUAUCGAUCUGGGAUGCAUUCCAAGUGGCACCCUAAUCCCUUUAUAGUGCACUACUUAUGAAUAGGGCCCUAUGGGGAUGCAGACCUGGUGUAAGUACUUGCUGUUACUAAAGGCUCCAUUACCUACCUGCGGAACCUUACCUCUCUCAUCACAAGGGUCUUCAACACAACUCCUGGAGGGUUUUUUGGAAGAUUUAAAAAAAACAAACAGAGGUGUACAUAACAAAUGGCAUCCUAUUCUCUUUGAAGUGCACUACUUUUGACCAGGGUAAUAGUAUGCCGUUUGUGACACACCCUAGAGUAUUCUCAGUCAAUUGUCGACCGGCUAAUCAUAAACCAAAGAUGACAGGAGAGCUUUAUAAUGGCUAGUAAUGGCUAGGUGAGAUGUGUUGGAUGGCAUCUGUAUCGCUGUUGAACUAAACAGUUAGCGUACUAGUGAUUAUACAAUAUUAGUUUCUUCCUAUAUCAUAGGCUACAUUCAAACUUGUAGAGGACAUUUAAAUUAGUGCAAUACAUAUUGGAUGGCUAUAAAGGUUUGUGUUACAGGAUAGAAUUAGCAGGUAUUCUAGUCUCGCUAAUAUCCCCUACAGGAUAGAAUUAGCAGGUAUGCUAGUCUAGCUAAUAGCCCAUACAGGAUAGAAUUAGCAGGUAUGCUAGUCUAGCUAAUAACCCCUACAGGAUAGAAUUAGCAGGUAUGCUAGUCUAGCUAAUAACCCAUACAGGAUAGAAUUAGCAGGUAUGCUAGUCUCGCUAAUAUCCCCUACAGGAUAGAAUUAGCAGGUAUGCUAGUCUCGCUAAUAUCCCCUACAGGAUAGAAUUAGCAGGUAUGCUAGUCUCGCUAAUAUCCCCUACAGGAUAGAAUUAGCAGGUAUGCUAGUCUAGCUAAUAGCCCCUACAGGAUAGAAUUAGCAGGUAUGCUAGUCUCGCUAAUAUCCCCUACAGGAUAGAAUUAGCAGGUAUGCUAGUCUCGCUAAUAUCCCCUACAGGAUAGAAUUAGCAGGUAUGCUAGUCUAGCUAAUAUCCCCUCUGGUUACAUUGUUCUGUAACGGCUCAUUCUCGUAUGAGCAAUUGAGCAUAUCAACUCACUGUGCUAAGUCUAGGGUUGCAAAAAUACAUAAGGUAUACUUUCAAAAAAAAUUCCAUGGUUUUCCAGAAAUCCUGGUUGGAAGAUUCCUCUUAAGAUUCUGAGCAAUGUGUCAAUGACCACACUAUGAAUAUAUGUGUAUCUGAGUUAGGUUGUUUUGGUUGGCGGUCAAUUCCGUCGAUUCAUGGAAAAAAAAAGAAAGUAAAAGCAUUUAACAAUUCAAGGAUUUAAUUGAAACUUACCAAAUUUCAACUUUUGAAUUGACUGAAUCGAUAGUUGAACUGAGCCCAACUCUGCGUUGAACCUCUCUAAAUGUGUCCUCCCUCAAUCUCAGACCUGUAGUUAUUUUUUAUUUUUUUAUUUUACCUUUAUUUAACUAGGCAAGUGAGUUAAGAACACAUUCUUAUUUUCAAUGACGGCCUGGGAACAGUGGGUUAACUGCCUGUUCAGGGGCAGAACGACAGAUUUGUACCUUGUCAGGUCAGAGGUUUGAACUCACAACCUUCCGGUUAAUAGUCCAACGCUCUAACCACCCUGCCGCCCCAGUUCAAUCAACAACUUCUCGAUGUCAUUGACUAUGUUGUUCUUAUGAAUGUAUUCAGGCUGUCUGUGUCUAUGACUAUACUAUCAGUGUUAUUGUCAAUGAAUGUAACUAUUUGAAUGUUCUCUGACUGCCUGUCAAUGAAUGUAACUAUUUGAAUGUUU